CAGAGGGGGCUAGCGUUGUUCGGAAUUACUGGGCGUAAAGGGCGCGUAGGUGGCCUGUUAAGUCGAACGUGAAAUCCCCGGGCUCAACCCGGGAACUGCGUCCGAGACUGGCAGGCUCGAAUCCGGGAGAGGGAUGUGGAAUUCCAGGUGUAGCGGUGAAAUGCGUAGAUAUCUGGAGGAACACCGGUGGCGAAGGCGGCAUCCUGGACCGGUAUUGACGCUGAGGCGCGAAAGCCAGGGGAGCAAAACGGGAUUAGAUACCCCGGUAGUCCUGGCCCUAAACGAUGAAUGCUUGGUGUGGCGGGUAUCGAUCCCUGCCGUGCCGAAGCUAACGCAUUAAGCAUUCCGCCUGGGGAGUACGGUCGCAAGGCUG
rnacentral:rRNA from 1 species